AAUGAACGUUGGCGGCAUGGAUUAGGCAUGCAAGUCGAGCGAGAAGUGUAGCAAUACACGGAAAGCGGCGGAAGGGAGAGUAAUAAGUGGGAAUCUGCCCUUAGACCUGGGAUAGCAGCGGGAAACUGUUGGUAAUACCAGAUAAUGUCUAUGGACCAAAGGUGUGAUUACGUCUAGGGAUGAGCCCACGUCCUAUUAGCUAGUUGGUAGGGUAAUGGCCUACCAAGGCGAUGAUGGGGAGCGGGUGUGAGAGCAUGACCCGCCUCACUGGGACUGAGACACUGCCCAGACACCUACGGGUGGCUGCAGUCGAGAAUCUUCGGCAAUGGGCGCAAGCCUGACCGAGCGAUGCCGCGUGCGGGAUGAAGGCCUUCGGGUUGUAAACCGCUGUCGAGGGGGAGCAACUUCCAUAGAGUUAUCUUUAUGGAUUGAGUGAUCCCUGGAGGAAGGACGGGCUAAGUUCGUGCCAGCAGCCGCCGUAAAAC
rnacentral:rRNA from 1 species